ACCUGAUCAGCGAUGCCGCGUGUGUGAAGAAGGCCUGAGGGUUGUAAAGCACUUUCAGUGGGGAGGAGGUAUAUUGGGUUAAGAGCUGAGUAUAUGGACGUUACCCACAGAAGAAGCACCGGCAAACUCCGUGCCAGCAGCCGCGGUAAUACGGAGGGUGCGAGCGUUAAUCGGAAUUACUGGGCGUAAAGCGUGCGUAGGUGGUUUAAUAAGUUAUGUGUGAAAUAUCUGGGCUUAACCUGGAUGCUGCAGAUAAGACUGUUAGGCUUGAGUAUGGGAGAGGGUAGUGGAAUUUCCGGUGUAGCGGUGAAAUGCGUAGAGAUCGGAAGGAACACUGGUGGCGAAGGCGGCUACCUGGCCUAAUACUGACACUGAGGUACGAAAGCAUGGGGAGCAAACAGGAUUAGAUACCCUGGUAGUCCAUGCUGUAAACGAUGUCAACUAGCUGUUGGGCCUGUAGAGGGUUUAGUGGCGCAGCUAACGCGAUAAGUUGACCGCCUGGGGAGUACGGUCGCAAGAUUAAAACUCAAAGGAAUUGACGGGGGCCCGCACAAGCGGUGGAGCAUGUGGUUUAAUUCGAUGCAACGCGAAGAACCUUACCUACUUUUGACAUAAUAGAGGACCUGGUAGAGAUACUGGGGUGCCC
rnacentral:rRNA from 1 species